rnacentral:rRNA from 1 species
UAGUCCACGCCGUAAACGAUGUCUGCUAGCCGUUGGGGUCCUUAGGGCCUCGGUGGCGCCGCUAACGCACUAAGCACACCGCCUGGGGAGUACGGUCGCAAGAUUAAAACUCAAAGGAAUUGACGGGGACCCGCACAAGCGGUGGAGCAUGUUGUUUAAUUCGACGCAACGCGAAGAACCUUACCUACACUUGACAUACUCGUCGGGACUUUCAGAGAUGAUUGUCUUCGGUUCGGCCGGACGAUGUACAGGUGCUGCACGGCUGUCGUCAGCUCGUGUCGUGAGAUGUUUGGUUAAGUCCAGCAACGAGCGCAACCCCUAUCGUAUGUUACCAGCAUUUAGUUGGGGACUCAUGCGAGACUGCCGGUGUUAAGCCGGAGGAAGGUGGGGACGACGUCAAGUCAUCAUGGCCCUUACGUGUAGGGCUACAAACGUGCUACAAUGGGAGUUACAGUGGGCAGCAACGUCGCGAGGCGAAGCUAAUCCCUAAAAGCUCUCUCAGUUCGGAUAGGACU